AUGGGAGGAAGAGGUCAUGGGCGUGCUCAUCGUGACCAUGAAGAUGAUGGGAUUGGUAAAUUCAAACUUACCAUACCAUCGUUCAAUGGUAAUUCUAGUGUUGAUGAGUACUAUAAAGAGAUGGAGAUUUUGAUGAUUAGGACAGCGGUGAAUGAGCCAGAGGAGGCCACAAUGUCAAGAUUCUUUCAUGGACUGAAUGAAGAUGUGCAAGAAAGGAUAGAGAUGGUUACAUAUCAAGAUUUGCGAGAACUUGUGCAUCAAGCUAUUCAUGUAGAGCAGCAGCUGAAGCGUCGCCAAAAUCGCAGCCAAACCUAUACAUCAAGCACUUGGAGAGGUUCAGUUCAGCGAGAAGUAGCCGGAAAUUUUCGCUCACACAACAAGAUGACUACAAAAGAAGCUAAUGCAUCAAAGGUUGAAUCUUCCAAUACUCCUGCCACUCGCAUUAGUAAUAUUCAGUGCCAUACAUGCAAGGGUAGAGGUCACUUCAAGAAGGAUUGUCCUAAUCUGAAGAAGGUUUUACUCACAAAUGAUGGAUAUGUCACCGAUGACUCAAGUGACAAAUCUGAAUCUGAGAAGGAAGAUGCAAAUUAUUGUACUUUUGAGACCGGAGCACCUCUGAGUUCAGAUGGAGGAGAUGGUGUUAAUCUCAUGGUUCGAAAUGUGGCUCAUGAUGAUGCUCCUAUUGUUAAGAAGGGCCACCAACAAAAUCCUAUGGUGGAUCAGGUACUCAAGGUUGAGCAAUUCCCACAAGUGAAGAAGCCCAAAAAGAAUACCUCAAAAUCGAGGACGGUUUUGUUUGAAGGAAGGGAGGAUGAUGUGGAACAGAUCAUGACCAAGGCAUCCAAGAGUGAGGUUAAUGCUAGCACAAAUGCUGAACCAUUAGAGCAUCCAAAGGAAGACAAGGGCAAAACCAUUAUCUUAGUUGGGAAGCUUCCGGUGCCUAUUUUGAGAGAAAUGACACAUCAGAUUUCCAGCUACAACUUCCCACCUAAACCUAAUUAA
rnacentral:rRNA from 1 species